rnacentral:lncRNA from 1 species
CUCUCAUCUUUUCUCCUUUUCUCUCUCUCUCUUUAUCCUUUCUACUCUUAUUUUCUCUUGUGAAGGAUCGCGAAGCCUGAGAGGCCUCGAUGGCUCUCCAUGGCCACCGUCGACAUCUCUAUCAGCCUCCCUUUUCUUCUCCCUCUCUCUCUCCUUCUUGACAUCUCUGCCAGCCUCCUUUUUCUUCUCUCCCUCUCCCUCUCUCC